rnacentral:rRNA from 1 species
UACGUAGGGUGCAAGCGUUGUCCGGAAUUAUUGGGCGUAAAGAGCUCGUAGGCGGUUCGUCGCGUCGGCUGUGAAAACCCGGAGCUCAACUCCGGGCCUGCAGUCGAUACGGGCGGACUAGAGUUCGGCAGGGGAGACUGGAAUUCCUGGUGUAGCGGUGAAAUGCGCAGAUAUCAGGAGGAACACCGGUGGCGAAGGCGGGUCUCUGGGCCUGUACUGACGCUGAGGAGCGAAAGCGUGGGGAGCAAACAGG